rnacentral:rRNA from 1 species
AUUGAACGCUGGCGGCAUGCCUUACACAUGCAAGUCGAACGGCAGCAUGGGUGCUUGCACCUGAUGGCGAGUGGCGAACGGGUGAGUAAUGCAUCGGAACGUACCCGGAAGUGGGGGAUAACGUAGCGAAAGUUACGCUAAUACCGCAUAUUCUGUGAGCAGGAAAGCGGGGGAUCGCAAGACCUCGCGCUUCCGGAGCGGCCGAUGUCGGAUUAGCUAGUUGGCGGGGUAAAGGCCCACCAAGGCAACGAUCCGUAGCGGGUCUGAGAGGAUGAUCCGCCACACUGGGACUGAGACACGGCCCAGACUCCUACGGGAGGCAGCAGUAAGGAAUAUUGGACAAUGGUCGCAAGACUGAUCCAGCCAUGCCGCGUGCAGGAUGAACGAUCUAUGAUCUGUAAACUGCUUUUGCCAGGGGAUAAAACACUUUGCGAAGUGGAUUGAAGGUACCUGGU